rnacentral:rRNA from 1 species
UGGGGAAUCUUGGACAAUGGGGGCAACCCUGAUCCGGCAAUGCCGCGUGUGGGAUGAAGGCCUUCGGGUUGUAAACCACUUUUGGCGGGGGCGAAAUAUCGAGUGCUAAUACCAUUCGGUGAUGACGGUACCCGCAGAAUAAGCACCGGCUAACUACGUGCCAGCAGCCGCGGUAAUACGUAGGGUGCAAGCGUUAAUCGGAAUUACUGGGCGUAAAGCGUGCGCAGGCGGUUAGGUAAGACAGAUGUGAAAUUCCCGGGCUCAACCUGGGAACUGCAUUUGUGACUGCCUGACUAGAGUGCGGCAGAGGGGAGUGGAAUUCCGCGUGUAGCAGUGAAAUGCGUAGAUAUGCGGAGGAACACCGAUGGCGAAGGCAACUCCCUGGGCCUGCACUGACGCUCAUGCACGAAAGCGUGGGGAGCAAACAG